rnacentral:lncRNA from 1 species
UUUCAGUGGUGCCCAGGGACAGGACAAGAGGAAAUGGGCACAGACUGGAACACAAGAAGCUCCAUCUAAAGAUGAGGAGGAAGUUCUUCCCUUUGAGGGUGGCAGAGCCCUGGAAGAGGCUGCCCAGAGAGGUGGUGGUCUCCUUCUCUGGAGACAUUCAGAUCCACCUGGACACCUUCCUGUGCAACCUGCUUUGGCAGGGGGGUAUUCUGUGAUUGUCACGCUGAGAAAUACAGAUUUCUCUUCGGGAAAUCCGCAGCCAUAAAACUUUUGAUUACAGGCAUGUCGUUAUGAGAUGUUUAGCUGGUGGGGCCAGCCCUUUUCCCUCUCUGCGGGUGGAAGAAGGUGGUGAACUUUUAAAGGAAUUAGAAGGGCAAAGAUCUACUCUGGCAGUUUUGGACAGAGGAAUUCAGAGUCAGACCCAGCUGGGAUAGGAAAGAUGAGCUGUGCUGGAAUAUAUUGUUGGUGACAAGUUCUUUCACCUUAUCACCCUGAGAGUGAUAAACUCUGCAAGGAUGUUUGGGGUUUUUUCUAUUAAUUUUUUUUUUCCCUUCACUUCUCUUUGUACUGUUAAAUAAAAAUACACUUUGUGCCUGUAUGGCAGGUCAGCUCCCACUCACCUAUCCCAUGUCCAUGAGGGGUCUGAGCUGCAACACAUAACCUGGGGGGUGUGCAGCCUGGGACCUCCAGGAGCUGGGUCGGAGGUCCCUGAAAGGAGGGACCUUCUCUGGAGAACGUGCCUGAAGAAAUCAUGGGACCCGUGCUGGGUUUAGUCCAAGACUCUCUGUUCAUGUAUCUGGGUGGAGUUUCAGAGCCAACAGGCUGCGUGGCGUGCAGGUUGGGCACUUUGCCUAUCUUCUCGGUCCUCCCCCUGAGGAGGCCACCCAUACCAGAGAAAGCAACGGUGCUGACAUCUACUGGUUAUUAUUCAGCUGUUAAUUAUUAGUAACACAUGGUGUCCUUUCUGAAUGACAUGCAAACGGUCCAGCACCUUGCGACGUCGCCAAAUGCACUGCGGAAGGUUCAGCUUCUCUUGUCCUUUCUGGUCUUCUCCGGUGGCAUCUCCAGUUAUAACGUGGUUUCCUCAUUUCACUCUUCUGCAUUAAGGUGCCAAGUACCUUCCUGGUGGGUGCUGCGCGGGGCUGCAGAGCGGCUGCAGGAUGCAGUAGAACGUUACCAAACAUCAGCAGCAGCUGCACGUGCAUUUACUAAGGAUAAUGUUCCUGCUGUGGGGUGGCCUGAAAAAUCUCUGCUGCUAAAAAUCAGAGUAUCCUGGGAUGACACAGUUGCUCCACGCAUCCUCGUCUUCACCUGGAUCCAUCCAUGGCUGAGGUACAACGGGAAACUCAGCAGGGGAAGUUGACAUCUGGCCUCAGCAUUCAAAUGGAAAGUUGUGAAACCACAGCAGUUGUUGCGUUUGGAGAAAAAGACUAACUAAAAAACCCCGAGACUUGGAAAACUUACUUCGUGACUCGCAACGUGGGAUUCAUCAGGAGAACGUGCCGUGCCACGCAGCCACAGACACACUAGUGAUGCCAACACACGAGCUCGCGUUGAGGCUUGGAGGUAAGAGGGGUAUUUUACAUUUAGUUAAACAUUCUGCAAUUUUCAAAUUAAUCUAAUGGGACACGGGAAAAGAGCUGCUAUGGAAAUAAAACAUUUCUACACCCAGUGCUAUGCA